UGAAUUGUCUAAUUAACUCGAAACACCUGCAAGGGUUUCCUGAGCCUUGACAAACACUCAGCUGUUAUAAAUCUUUUUUUUUACUUGGUCUGAGGAAAUAUUAAAAUUUUAUGAGAUAGGAUUUUAGAGUUUUCUUAAGCUGUAAGCCAUAAUCAGCAAUAUUAAAAGAAUAAAAGGCUUGCAAUAUUUCAGUUGAUUUGUAAUGAAUCCAGAAUGCAUGACAUUUUUGUUUUUUUAAUUGCAUUACAGAAAAUAAAGAACUUUAUCACAAUAUUCUAAUUUUCUGAGACAGUCCUGUAUUUUGUCAUACUAAACUAUGACUUUUAUUUUGACAUAUUUUGGCAUACUAUACUAUGACCUUUAUUUUGACAUACUAUUUCGACAUAUUUUGGCAUACUAUAUACUAUAUAGUAUAUAGUAUAUAGUAUAUACUAUAUACUAUGACUUUCAUUUUUACAUAUUUUGGCAUACUAUACUUUGACCUUUAUUUUUACAUACUAUUUAGACAUAUUUUGGCAUACUUUACAAUGACCUUUAUUUUGACAUACUAUUUAGACAUAUUUUGGCAUACUAUACUAUGACCUUUAUUUUUGACAUAUUUUGUCAAACUAAACUAUGACUUUUAUUUUGACAUAUUUUGGCAUACUAUACUAUGACUUUUAUUUUGACAUAUUUUGGCAUACUAUACUAUGACUUUUAUUUUGACAUAUUUUGGCAUACGAUACUCUGACUUUUAUUUUGACAUAUUUUGGCAUACAAUACUAUGACCUUUAUUUUGACAUACUAUUUCGACAUAUUUUGGCAUACUAUACUAUGACCUUUAUUUUGACAUAUUUUGGCAUAAUAUACUAUGACUUUUAUUUUGACAUAUUUUAGCAUACUAUACUAUGACCUUUAUUUGUGACAUAUUUUGUCAUACUAAACUAUGACCUUUAUUUUGACAUAUUUUGGCAUACUAUACUAUGACUUUUAUUUUGACAUAUUUUGGCAUACUAUACUAUGACUUUUAUUUUGACAUAUUUUGGCAUACUAUUGUCACAACCCGGCUCUUAGGGCAUGGCAAAUAUGGCGCGGACACAGCAUUAAAUUAAGGAACAAGUGUUUAUUUAACGUAAUAACGGAACACAACGUAGUGAAGUGUGGCAGUCCGCAACGUCAGUAGUGUCCAUGUGCAUGUGUGUGUAAUGGAGUGUAAAUGUUGUCAGCCAAACCCAAGGAAACCAACAGCAACGGUACCAGCAGCAAAGUAACCCACGACCACCACUACUCCACCUGUGAGGAGAACAACACGCCAUGCACAGUGUGGAUCAAGGCCUUCAUGCCCUCCUGCUCUCGGACCAGGUGAUUGGACGGAGCACAUAAGAGGGAACCUGUGGGGGCCGGCUCUCUCUCUCUCUCCAGCUUCCAACCAGGCCAUGCUGCACAGCUCUGAUUGUGGGUGGUGGGGUUAUAACGGGUGUCGGUAGGGGAGAGAAGCUCUUUUUGUUUAAUACUGUUUCUCUUGUUUUUCAGUAGGGAGUUAGGUAAGUGAUUUGUAGUGAUGGUGAGAUGAAGCCUCAUGAGGCAUCGAACCACUUCAGCCAAUUGGUUCGAGAAAGAGUUCAUUUCUCGAAGCUUCAUGUGCUCACGAAACCACCUACUGGCCAAGUGCAUAAUUACAGGCAGCUGUAUCUGAACCACAUAAUGUGAUGCAUUGAGUUUUUGUGUGUUAUGGCUGUUGGGUAUGACUAGGAAUUUCAAAAAUGUAUGACCAAAUCAUUUCUGUACAUAAAGUAUCACAUAUGUGCAUAAUAAAAUAUGUUUUGAAUGUA